CUUGUCUGUGAUAGCCGAGCUUGUGGGCUGGGAUGCAACUUUGAGUUUAAAAGAUUUAGAGAUAUAGAUGCCAGUGCUGGUGAUGUUGAUCCUCAUUAUAGGGCUUGUUUACAACAAUGUGAAGAAACUGGAUGUGUAGCAAGAGAUGCUUUCCACAUUGCAAUUUCUCUUCAGUUUCAGGUCCAAACCUAGCAGAAGGCGUGGGAGUAUUCAUAUACUGAGUAGUUUUUGCAUUGUCUACCACUACAUAUCUGUUUAACUUUGUAUAUUUGCUUGCAAAUACAUGUUCGAAUACAAUUCCAGGUCUUGUGAUUGUUGGUUGGUGUAAGAAUGAUGGAUAUUGUAUUUUGAGAUUUUUCAAUGUAUAAUAUUUGGAGA